AUUUAUGUAUUUUUGUUUUUUUGGAUCGUCAUGAAAAUUUCCUUAUUCUCAUGUAAUUUUUUUUUUUCCGUUGACAUACCAUGUAAAUGAAGUUCUCAUAUGAUGUUGUCUCCUUGGAUUCGGCUAGCCUUCUUCUCCUUCUUGAUUAGCUCCUUUUUAAAAUAUGUUACUGCCGCUUUUUCAUCACUAAAUAAAUGUCAUCUUUAAUUGAGUUUUCAUUCUCCAAAUUUUGAGAAUUUCAUCUUCGAACUCUAUAUUCUCUCCUUCGCUGCUAUAGUUUUGCCCCAAACUAGUCUUAUUCUUUUUCUUAGUAAAAAACUAUCUUACUUCUCAUUUUGUAAAAUUUUUUUAUGAUUCUCUUUUUGUUUCUAGAACUAUUCGCAUUUGCUUUCUUAUCCUUUAAACAUAUACCAAAUUUUAUAUAUACUCUCAAUAGUCUUUUAGGUCUCAUCGAUUCAUACUCUCUUUUUUUUUCAAAAGCAACAGCAGCCGCACAACCAGCACCACUACCAUUCCAGCCGAUUUACCAACUUGUUCUGUAGCUCUUUUGGAUAAUAGAACGCACAGGGCAUCGCAAUAAACGAUGCUAUGAGUAUCUGAAGAAGCUGGUUUGCACCAAACCCCAAUGCUUGCACACAGAAGAUCUCCGACGUCAUUAAGUCGAUGUAUGACCACCCGUGGCCAACUUACACACAGAUCCCAACUUAGACCAGAGAUCAAUGAUUUUAGAAGUGGACAGUAAGAACCCAAUAAUGUUGAAUUAAUUAACUGUAUUUGAACUGUAUUUUAUUCCGACUAACUAAUGUUAGUGAAUCACUUUGUGCGGUUGAAACUCAUAUGGGAUGCGGAGCAUAAUCUCAUGAUCAGGAAGAUCUAAGACCACCAGACAGCUAAACAUUUUCAGCAUAUGUUGAGCAAUGUUCGUAAGGAGUGCGACCACCUAACGUCCUGGAUCUGUCCAGCCAUCAAGAAGGAACUGGAGGCCUAUUUUACUCAUAAUGAGGGGUUCAAGCAUCGCUGUCUAACGAACGUCGCUAACAGGGCUUCGCUCAGGGUUGUCGAAGUAUACAUGUGGGUCAGCGACCUUCAUGAAGAUGAAGAGCAGAGUGUUGUUGGACCGUGAGGCAACACUGGUGAAGACCGUUAAGUAUACCCAUACUUUGAAGACCAACAAGGAGAGAUUUGCAGACGAGCAGUCAGUAGCCCAUUAUGAGGAUUAUACGCAGAGGUUGGAGGCUGUCACCUAGCAAUCUCAACCACCUAGUGGGAACGAUGAAACCAACUCCGAGACCUCAGUGGUAGAUCCUGAUAGGAUUUGGCACGAGAUUGCCUCUGAACCCCACAAGAAUCGCUGCUUCAGGUUGGCAUCGUACAUCGCCAGUGGUCUUCUCUCCUCCGCAUUAGCGGUUUCCUCUGCCUCUACCUCUGCCACCAGCCCUGCCGAUUGAUGAGCGGAUAAUUUAUACGCUUUUUGGCACUGUUUUUAGAUAUUUUCUGGCUGAAAUUGAGGGACCUGAGCAAAAAUCUAAUUCAGAGGCUG